CUCUGUGUCCCCACCCAAAUCUUAUCUCAAAUUGUAAUCCCCACAUGUCAAGGGAGAGACCUUGUGUGAGGUGAUUGGAUCAUGAAGGUGAUUUUUCCCAUGCUGUUCCUAGGAUAGUGAGGGAGUUCUCAUGAGAUCUUGAUGAUUUAAAAGUGUGGCAGUUUCUGCUGUGCUCUCUCUCCCUCCUACUGCCUUGUGAAGAAAGUGCCUGCUUCCCUUUUGCUGUCUGCCAUGACUAUAUGGGGUUUCAUCAUGUUGUGGUGAUCUUGAACACCUGGGCUCAAGCAAUUCGCCUGCCUUGGCCUCCCAAAGUGCUAGGAUUACAGGUAUGAGUCACUGCACCCAGCCCACUCUGUGCCUUUUAAUUGGGGCAUUUAGCCCCAGUACAUUCAAGGUUAAUACAUUCAAGGUUGAUAAUGAUAUGUGUGUAUUUG
rnacentral:lncRNA from 10 species